rnacentral:rRNA from 1 species
UACGUAGGGGGCUAGCGUUGUCCGGAAUCAUUGGGCGUAAAGCGCGUGUAGGCGGUCCGGUAAGUCCGCUGUGAAAGUCAGGGGCUCAACCCUCGAAAGCCGGUGGAUACUGUCGGGCUAGAGUGCGGAAGAGGCGAGUGGAAUUCCUGGUGUAGCGGUGAAGUGCGCAGAUAUCAGGAGGAACACCGGUGGCGAAGGCGGGUCUCUGGGCAGCAACUGACGCUGAGGAGCGAAAGCGUGGGGAGCGAACAGG